AGCGAACGCUGGCGGCAGGCCUAACACAUGCAAGUCGAACGAACCCUUCGGGGUUAGUGGCGGACGGGUGAGUAACACGUGGGAACGUGCCUUUAGGUUCGGAAUAACUCAGGGAAACUUGUGCUAAUACCGAAUGUGCCCUUCGUGGGAAAGAUUUAUCGCCUUUAGAGCGGCCCGCGUCUGAUUAGCUAGUUGGUGAGGUAAUGGCUCACCAAGGCUACGAUCAGUAGCUGGUCUGAGAGGAUGACCAGCCACAUUGGGACUGAGACACGGCCCAAACUCCUACGGGAGGCAGCAGUGGGGAAUCUUGCACAAUGGGCGAAAGCCUGACGCAGCCAUGCCGCGUGGAUGAUGAAGGUCUUAGGAUUGUAAAAUCCUUUCACCGGUGAAGAUAAUGACUGUAGCCGGAGAAGAAGCCCCGGCUAACUUCGUGCCAGCAGCCGCCGUAAAAC
rnacentral:rRNA from 1 species